rnacentral:rRNA from 1 species
CAGUAGCCACGGGAACACGUAGGGUGCAAGCGUUAAUCGGAAUUACUGGGCGUAAAGCGUGCGCAGGCGGUUAUAUAAGACAGAUGUGAAAUCCCCGGGCUCAACCUGGGAACUGCAUUUGUGACUGUAUAGCUAGAGUACGGCAGAGGGGUAUGGAAUUCCGCGUGUAGCAGUGAAAUGCGUAGAUAUGCGGAGGAACACCGAUGGCGAAGGCAAUCCCCUGGGCCUGUACUGACGCUCAUGCACGAAAGCGUGGGGAGCAAACAGGAUUAGAGACCCCAGUAGUCCCUGUCUCUUAUAC